UGCGUGGGGAGGGCUCGCUUCCGCCGGACGACGGAAGCGGCCCUCCGGCCCUACCAGUGGGCCAUGGAGACGGUGGCACAGUAGCGACCUAGGUGUAAGGAUUGCAGGGGCGGCGGCCAUGGAGGCCGUACUGAACGAGCUGGUGUCUGUGGACGACCUGCUGAAGUUUGAAAAGAAAUUUCAGUCUGAGAAGGCAGGAGGCUCCGUGUCCAAGAGCACGCAGUUUGAGUACGCCUGGUGCCUGGUGCGAAGCAAGUACAAUGAUGACAUCCGCAAAGGCAUCGCACUACUGGAGGAGCUGCUGCUCAGCAGGAGCAAGAGGAACAGCGGGAUUA